CCUACGGGGGGCUGCAGUAAGGAAUAUUCCGCAAUGGGCGAAAGCCUGACGGAGCGACGCCGCGUGAGGGAUGAAGUCCCUUCGGGAUGUAAACUUCAAUAGUACGCCAGGAACCAAUCCUGGCUAAUAAUCAGGAAAGUUGACCAGCGUACGAAAGAGGCGGCUAACUCCGUGCCAGCAGCCGCGGUAAUACGGAGGCCUCGAGCGUUGUUCGGAAUCACUGGGCUUAAAGCGCGUGUAGGCGGAGCGGUAAGUACUUUGUGAAAUCCCCGGCUUCAAUCCGGGAACUGCUAGGUAUACUGUCGCUCUUGAGGCAGGUAGGGGUCACUGGAACCUUAGGUGGAGCGGUGAAAUGCGUAGAUAUCUAAGGGAACGCCUGUGGCGAAAGCGGGUGACUGGGCCUGUCCUGACGCUGAGACGCGAAAGCGUGGGGAGCAAACGGGAUUAGAUACCCGAGUAGUC
rnacentral:rRNA from 1 species